rnacentral:hammerhead_ribozyme from 1 species
AUCCAGAUGACGAAUCCCAGACAGGACGACAUGCGCAUCCUGGAU